UUAAGUUAAUAAAAUAAAGUCAGGUAUUCAAUGGGUUCCGUUAGCCGAAAGUGGAUGACGAAAUGUUUUGUGCCAACAAAAAUUCUGCAAAGGGUUAAACACAGCUAUCAAAGGAGCGUUGACCAAGGAUUCAGAGGACCCGGACAAAGGUUUAAGAACGGC